rnacentral:piRNA from 1 species
UGAUUGGUCUCCUCAAACGUGCAAGCUGUU